rfam:Desulfatibacillum alkenivorans AK-01, complete genome.
AAUUAGUUUUGCCAAACCGGUCGCGAGGCCGGGACGGAAAGCCACGGGUCUUGAUCAUAAAAGACAGCCGGGUUGCGCAU